rnacentral:rRNA from 1 species
CCCGAAGUAGUAAGAGUUAUUUUAUUUAUAGUUAGCGUGUUAUAGCUAUUAUUAAAGUAAAUUAGAGGUGAUAUGCCAGUCAAUUACUAUAUAUCUGGUUUAAUUUAUUUAAAUUUAAUUUAUAUGUAGAUUCAAAGAUCUAUUUAAAUAUAGUAGAGGGGGAAGCUCUCUAUAGAAAAUUAUAAUAUAAGUUUAUAGGAGGAUUUAAUAAUUUUCAUUAUUUUAGAUAAAAUUUUAUUAAUUUUAAAGGUUAAACUAAAAAUUUUUAAAAAUGGAGGAUAAUAAAUAUAUUAGUAGUUGAUAAAUAUAAUUAAUAGAUAAAUUUAUUAUAGUUUAUACUAAAGAUGAAUCUUUAAAGAACUCGGCAAAAAUAAUUUCGCAUGUUUAUCAAAAACAUCUCUUGAAAUAUCUCAAGUAACCUCUGCCCUAUGAAUAGUUUAAAUGGCCGCAGUACUUUGACUGUGCAAAGGUAGCAUAAUCACUUGUCUCUUAAUUGGGGGCUGGAAUGAAGGAGGCGACGAAAUUUGUGCUAUUUAGUUAUAAAACAAAAUUAACAUAAAGGUCAAAAGGCUUUUAUACACCAAAGGGACGAUAAGACCCUAUAAAACUUUACUAUAUAGCAGGUUGUUUAGGUAAAAUUUAAAUUAUAGUUUAACUGGGGCGGUUUAUAUAAAAACAAUAGUAAUGUCAAUAUUUUAAAUAAACUUAGAGAGCUUUAAUAAGAAAUGAACAAGUUACUUUAGGGAUAACAGCAUAAUUCUCCCAGAGAGUCCUAAUUGGCGGGAGAGCUUAUGACCUCGAUGUUGAAUUGGGGUGUCUAGUGUAAGUAGAAAUAUAUUAAGAUAGUCUGUUCGACUAUUAAAUCCCCACAUGAUUUGAGUUCAGACCGGCGUAAGCCAGGUUGGUUUCUAUCUUUUGGGCGGUUUUAGAUUUAAAUUGUACGAGAGGACCUUUAAAU